rnacentral:rRNA from 1 species
CUAUGCGCCUUGCCAGCCCGCUCAGGUGUGCCAGCAGCCGCGGUAAUACGUAGGGGCAAGCGUUAUCCGGAUUUACUGGGUGUAAAGGGAGCGUAGGCGGUGCGCCAAGCUGGGUGUGAAAGGCCGGGGCUCAACCCCGGGACUGCACUCGGAACUGGCGUGCUAGAGUGUUGGAGAGGUAAGCGGAAUUCCUAGUGUAGCGGUGAAAUGCGUAGAUAUUAGGAGGAACACCAGUGGCGAAGGCGAUUCUCUGGGCCAAGACUGACGCUGAGGCGCGAAAGCGUGGGGAGCAAACAGG